ensembl:snoRNA
CCCGAGACUAGAGUCACAUCCUGACAAUGACUGUUGUUUUGGUGUGCUAGAGUCUUCGGAGAAAAUCUUCUGACCUUUAUUCACUGGCCUUGGCAUCUGGUGCCACAGUCAGUCACCGGGUCAGUUACAUUG